rnacentral:rRNA from 1 species
CCCUUAGAUGUUCUGGGCCGCACGCGCGCUACACUGAAUGGAUCAACGUGUUUUCCCUUCCCGAGAGGGACGGGUAACCCGCUGAACCCCAUUCGUGGUAGGGAUCGGAGCUUGCAAUUGUUCUCCGUGAACCAGGAAUUCCCAGUAAGCGCAAGUCAUAAGCUUGCGUUGAUUACGUCCCUGCCCUUUGUACACACCGCCCGUCGCUACUACCGAUUGAAUGGUCCGGUGAAAUCUUCGGAUCUGAGAGAUGUCUGAUUAAUUUCGGACGCCUUUUGGAAAAGUUGCUUAAACCUUACCAUUUAGAGGAAGGUGAAGUCGUANCA